UGUAUUACAACAGUUCAGUGCUGCCAACAGUUCUGCUAUGCAGAAUGGUUCGUUGUACGACACACUUUUUGCACAUUUUCUUUCUAACUUUUGCCGUUCUAUUCGCGUUUUGUACUUUAGGAAGGUUUUAGAGUAGUGUGAGGAGCUCGAUAUGUGUACAAAAUGUGCACCAAGAAAGUUGGCUCGAUAUUCCAGGCUUUCUCCGUGGUUAUUUACUAAGGGCAGGGAAUACGUUCGUUACCCAUCCCGUUCCCGGGGUGGCCCGAACGGGGCCGACCAGGCGCCAUCGGCUGGCUCCAAGGACAGCCACCGCUGGGAGACUAUGGGGAAAGGAGGCAGUCGUAGCUCGAGCGGAAGACGCCGGGGAUCCCGUUCGAAGUCCCGGACCAGAUCGAGAACCCAGGUCGAGUCCAACCAACGAGGGAUACUCGCCGAGAAAAAGUUCCGGUAACAUGCAACGAGCAAGGCAUUCGCUAAUGGAUGGUGUAUCGAAGAACUGGCCAAUAUUUCUGUGUGAUGCUGUACAAGCAUGUGGCGUUACCUUACAAGGCACCCACAAAAUUCGGCUUUGCGACACUCCAAGAGGACGUGGAGGACGGUCAGCCUCUCGCCAC